CACAGCCUGUCUGUCUGUCUGCAGGCCUCAUUGGUGCACGGUGACUUUUGCCCUUAUUUGGAAAUGUCAAGACUUCAAAUUGAAGGGAAAGUUCAGAUCAGGAAACAAGGUGUCACCUCAACGUUUGGCUGUUUGUUGUUGUUGUUCAAACAGGGAAAACAAAGAUGAAUGCACUCUGCUAAAAGGAACACUUUGUAACGGGGAUGAAGACAUGGAGAAAGGGAAGUAAAGGGGAUGGACAGCCAAGUGUGCGCGUCGCCAGGGGAACUUUGAUUCAUCACCCCGACCGCUGUAGUGACCUGCAGGUUGGAUUAUGAGAACUCACACGGCUGCAGACGGACAGGAAGGAAGUGAAACUGCGGCCUUUCACUUUUUAUAAAU